CCCUAUUCCUCAUCGUCGCCGCCGCCUCUAAUUGAUUACAACCAUCUCUUCACCCCCAAACCCUUUCGCCUAUCGACUCCAAAAUUCUCCCGCCCUUCUCCGAGGUGUUCGCCUCACGAUCGUUCGGUGAUGUCGAGCGCACUGGAUAUGUCCCUCGACGACAUCAUUAAGAACAACAAACAAUCGGCGCCCGGGGGGCGUGGACGGGGCCGUGGCUCCGGUGCCGGCCCCGCCCGCCGCGUCCCUAACAGAUCGGCGAACCGAUCCGCCCCUUACUCUGUCGGGAAGGCUCCGGACUCGGCGUGGCAGCAUGACAUGUUCGCGGCUCAGAUGGGCGGUGUUCCUGCUCCAGCGGCUAGGGCGUCUUCCAUAGAGACCGGCACCAAGCUGUAUAUUUCGAACUUGGAAUAUGGGGUUUCGAACGAGGACAUCAAGGAGCUUUUUUCAGAGGUGGGUGAUCUGAAGCGCUAUUCAAUAAAUUAUGAUAGAAGUGGAAGAUCUAAGGGAACGGCUGAAGUGGUGUUUGCAAGGCGGGCCGAUGCUUUAGCUGCUGUAAAGAGAUACAACAAUGUGCUGCUUGAUGGAAAGCCAAUGAAAAUAGAAAUUAUUGGAACAAAUAUCUCAACACCAGCUGCUGUGCCUCAGUUAUCUAAUGGCGCUUUUGGGAAUUCUAAUGGUGCUUCAAAAAGCACUGGGCCAGGAAGGGGUUCUGCAGGAUGGCCACGAGGUGGUGGCCGUGGAAGGGGGAGGGACCGUGGACGAGGUAGAGGUCGUGGUGAACCAGUAUCUGCUGCAGCACUUGAUGCUGAGUUGGACAAAUACCAUGCAGAAGCAAUGCAAACCAACUGAGUGGUCCUAAUAGGCUUCUUUAGUUUAUAAUUGUUGCUUGCUUGCGUGAUAGGGCUUGCUAGUUUUAUUGUUCCGUAAACACGCAUAAUGUAGGAAGGGAAGAUGAUACUGUUAAAGUACCGACUGGGUUUGAGGGCUUUCAUUUUCUUACUAUUAUCGCACUUGAUUUCAACGUGCUACUGGAUUAAAGUGAACAUCUGGUGUCUGGCUUGGUGAUUAUUUUUAUUUGGUCAGUCAAACUUCUUUCUCUUCAAUCUCAUUGUGAUACAAGCUACUGGAGUUGGACUUUCCAUGGGGAACCCGCAUCACAGACGCUCGUGCGGUCGUGAGUUAUGUAGCCUGCACAACAUGAAGGCUGAUCUCAUGGAUCCUUUCAUUGGUGAGAUAGACUUAUGCCUGCAACUUAUUCUGGAAAUUUUGUGGUAUGUGAGGUUCCUUUGUUCAACACAGACAGUUUGUUUGA